UAGAAACUUGAUUUUAUAGCGCCGUAAAAUGUUUUCUUAAUUACACUGUCUAUGUGUAUGUUAAUUACAGAGUCUAUGAGGUGGAUGGGGUCCAUUGACGUGACGGGAAACGUGUUUCUGAUGAGCUCAACAGAAAUUUGUGGCUGUGCGUCAAGUCAGCAUCAGCAACAUAAUUCUGUAUGCUUAAAAAACAGCAUAAUUUGCGAAGUGGAUUUGGCGAGUGGGAGCCGAGUGACUCCACUGCUCGAUUAUGGACUACUUUAUCCAAGCCAUCUAAUCAGUGUGUCAAGCUUCUAUGCUUACAGCUAACAGCUUACAUCUCCUCCACUCGACGCUCAGCGCAAAUCCUACAAGGAAUUCCGGCGCAGUUAGUAUAGAAGGCGAAUGUGAAUGUGAAUGUGAUUGUGAAUGUGAAUGGGGAUAUUCGCCUUCUAUGCCCCCACGCCCACAUUGUUGCUUUUGCCCACACAAUGCCAAAUCAAAUAUUUUGCAUUGUUUUUGUUUUGAGCUUGGCUGGCGUUUGGCUUUGGUUUCGAAACAAAUAUAAAAUAUUUGCUCAUACGUCGGCAGCGCGCUUUGUUCUCAGAUAUCCUAUAACUGUAAAUUGAGCGUGGGAGCGAAAUACAUACAACACGAAUUGUUAUUGAUUAACAAAAUAUAUGUUUAAAA